rnacentral:rRNA from 1 species
AACGAACGCUGGCGGCAUGCCUAACACAUGCAAGUCGAACGAGACCUUCGGGUCUAGUGGCGCACGGGUGCGUAACGCGUGGGAACCUGCCCUUAGGUUCGGAAUAACUCCCCGAAAGGGGUGCUAAUACCGGAUAAUGUCUUCGGACCAAAGAUUUAUCGCCUUUGGAUGGGCCCGCGUUGGAUUAGCUAGUUGGUAGGGUAAAAGCCUACCAAGGCGACGAUCCAUAGCUGGUCUGAGAGGAUGAUCAGCCACACUGGGACUGAGACACGGCCCAGACUCCUACGGGAGGCCGCAGGGGGGAAUAAUGGACAAUGGGCGAAAGCCUGAUCCAGCAAUGCCGCGUGAGUGAUGAAGGCCUUAGGGUUGUAAAGCUCUUUUACCCGGGAUGAUAAUGACAGUACCGGGAGAAUAAGCUCCGGCUAACUCCGUG